GAAAAGGCCAAGACCGAAAAGUCCAGAAUAACUUAGCACAUGCAAUCCGGCAUCUUCGGGCUGAACAGCACAUUGAAUAUUAAAGGAUCAGCCGAUGCUGCUGUGGCAGCUGGAGCGGCACGAGAGGGUCUGGAAAGGAUGGCUGCAGCUAAUGAAGAGAGAUGUAGCAGAGGAGGAGGACGGCAGCCAACCUGCUGCUGCGGGGGAGCCAGCCUGAGCAGAAGCAACAGAGCCACUGGGGAUUCCUCCAGCCCACACUUUAACAUGGAGCCUUCAGAGAAGGAGAGGUGUCGUGCUUGCUUAAGGAGGUGCUAACCUCACCGUCUUGUGCAGUUCCCAGUGACAGAGGGAGAAGGACUUGCCCUGAGUGAAGGAGCUUGUGGCGAGCUCAUCGAUCAAAGACCGGGAAAUGUCAGGUGGCAAGUACAAGGCAGAGUUGGGGGUUUUUUGCGCAAUAUGCUGGAGCUACACCUCACAAGCUAUUACAGUGAAUUCAAAUGUAUUCGGUCAUAUAUUCAAUUAAAAGAGAGGUUAGAAAAAUGAUUUGCAAAUGAUUUCAUAUACAAUUUAAUGAUCGUGAUUCUUUUAAAAGUUACUUCAUGUUGAUAUAAAGCAAACUGGAGGUUCAGCCAGGUGUGUGACUGGCAGCUUCUCUGUCAAUAAUUUCUGUUCUAAAUGCCACCAGGAUACAGCAAAUUAGCAAAUUAUUCAUUAACACACAUUUAACAAGUCGGUACAUUAAUUGCAAAGGGUUUGGAAUACUGCCAGAAAUACUGUAUUUCCACAGAAAAUCAUUAAAUCGGAAAAAUGCUUUGUCACCACUGAUUUCUGUAUAAAUAAAGCAAUGUUUAAUUAAUGCUGUAAGAUGGCAUCAAACAAAAUCAGUGAAGGAAUUCAACCACAAACCCCAACAUCUUCUCCUGAGAACUGAUUUCCCAUGUUGCCCACAUCUUAUUCUGUGGCUGUGGAGUAAAGCUGAAACCAUUAGCAACUAUUUUGAUCAUCUUCAAAAUGUAUACAGGUCCAGCUAUUAGACAUAUUCUUAUUUAAUAGGAAACUGAAAUUAAUAAAUCUUUGCGUUUUGAUGUUGAAUCUGCUUCUACUCGUCUGAUCAAUUGUUAAUUAAAAUAAUAUUUAGUUGCAAACCUAUGACUCCCAACAAUUUUCACCAAACAGAAACUACAAAUUACUGUAAAAACACAUAUUCAAAAGUCUGUUGCGAGAAACACAAAUCUCAGACAGAAAUGAUUAUCCGAAAAGAAUUGCCUGUCUACUGUGCACCAAAAUACAAACUCUGAUAAUGUGUCUGGGGUAGGCGGCAAAAUCAAUAAAUCAAUGAAAGGUUGGACCUCAAUUAUCUAUAUAAGAACAAUAUAAUUUCCAUCUAGAAUGUUCACUAAGAUUCUGUAACUAAAAAUGAAGAAGAUAUGAAUCCAUGAAGAGAUACUGUUUAAAGCCCUGUGGUUAAUGUGCUUCUUCUGUGAAAUAUCUUUCUGAGUGGCUGACGCUGGUGACCUGAAGUGUUCCAGAAUCAAGCAGGUAACUGCAGUUUAACAUCCAAAUGUUAAACUAAUUACUCUCUCCCCCUCUGAAAAAUGUACCGCACUGUGGAGCGGAGGGCCACUGCAGGAUGCCACUUUACAGCACAAGGAGGAAAUAUUCCACCCUAUGCAACAUAAACAAGAUGCAAUGAUGUGCUGCAGAGGAGAGGACAAAAAGAGAA